rnacentral:ncRNA from 1 species
UGACGACAGUGCGCAAUACUGAUCGCCUGAUCUUAAUUUUAUCAAUAAGCGUAUGAAAAGAACCUAAAAAGGAUUCCCUGAGUAACUGGAAGUGAAGCGAAAAAAGCCCAGCGAGUAAUCACUCAUGUCAUACCUGUAGCGAGGUGUCCGUAUACGCCCGUCUGUCUGGUUAUCAUUGAUAUUCCAAGAUUUCUCGAAUGAAACUUCCCUCACAGAGUGCUAAGCCCGUACGAACUUCGACUUGACCAGAUGAGCGUGUCUUGUAAUAUAUUGCUUGGAA